UACGAAGGGGGCUAGCGUUGCUCGGAAUCACUGGGCGUAAAGCGCACGUAGGCGGACUCUUAAGUCGGGGGUGAAAUCCUGGAGCUCAACUCCAGAACUGCCUUCGAUACUGAGAGUCUUUUGAGUCCGGGAGAGGUGAGUGGAACUGCGAGUGUAGAGGUGAAAUUCGUAGAUAUUCGCAAGAACACCAAUGGCGAAGGCAGCUUGCUGGGACGGUACGUGA
rnacentral:rRNA from 1 species